rnacentral:rRNA from 1 species
UUUUCGGACGGAAUCAUAACUGACUGAGCGGCGGACGGGUGAGUAACGCGUGGGUAACCUGCCUCAUACAGGGGGAUAACAGUUAGAAAUGGCUGCUAAUACCGCAUAAGCACACAGCUUCGCAUGGAGCAGUGUGAAAAACUCCGGUGGUAUGAGAUGGACCCGCGUCUGAUUAGCUAGUUGGUAAGGUAACGGCUUACCAAGGCGACGAUCAGUAGCCGACCUGAGAGGGUGACCGGCCACAUUGGGACUGAGACACGGCCCAAACUCCUACGGGAGGCAGCAGUGGGGAAUAUUGCACAAUGGGGGAAACCCUGAUGCAGCGACGCCGCGUGAGUGAAGAAGUAUCUCGGUAUGUAAAGCUCUAUCAGCAGGGAAGAAAAUGACGGUACCUGACUAAGAAGCCCCGGCUAACUACGUGCCAGCAGCCGCGGUAAUACGUAGGGGGCAAGCGUUAUCCGGAUUUACUGGGUGUAAAGGGAGCGUAGACGGCGGAGCAAGUCUGAAGUGAAAGCCCGGGGCUCAACCCCGGGACUGCUUUGGAAACUGUUCUGCUAGAGUGCUGGAGAGGUAAGUGGAAUUCCUAGUGUAGCGGUGAAAUGCGUAGAUAUUAGGAGGAACACCAGUGGCGAAGGCGGCUUACUGGACAGUAACUGACGUUGAGG